AAAGAAAUUUAUUGAAGCUGCUAACUUUAAUUUGGGGGAAGUUCCUCCUUUCUUUU
rnacentral:tRNA from 1 species